rnacentral:lncRNA from 1 species
GAGAAGAUUUUUCUUCUCGGAUUUUGAAACAGGAAACAGAAAUGGCCAGCAAUAUUCCGAACAUCACGAAAAUUUCGGAAGAGCCCGGAUAGAUAAAAAUAAAAACGAUGUCGAACUCGCGAUCGACGAAACCGACGCGAUAUUAAAAUCGCGAUCAGCGAAGAUAAUUAAAAUUUAGCGUCUGUUCACCCACUGAUAUUACGUGCUUAAAUCCAUACUCGUUGUCGAGCGGAAUAUACACACCUGGGGUGUUACAGUCCUCCCCCCUUAAAAGAAUCUCGUCCCGAGAUUCGGAGCGAAAGACUUUUAAGGGUAGAGAAGCAUGUACCCCAUAUCCAUAUCAGCGAUAAGCAUAAGACAGUCCUGAACGAAGACAAGUGUCUCAGAAUGUUGUUUCUCUAGUGGACAUAACAUGUAUUGACUUAAGCCAAUUUAAAAAUGUCCAUUAGUAGAGACAGUAUCUACCAGAAGAACACAUAGGGUUCCAGGUGUGCAGUUUGCUUUUUCUGAUGACAUUGUACUAUCUGAGUCUGUUGAGCAAGCGGUGGAUAUGCGACUUUACCUAAACAGAAUCAGAUGCAACCUCUUGAGUAAAACACAUAGAAAGAGGUUUACCAACAAGUGGUCACGGUAAGCUCGUAGCACACAAGACGAGUGUGGAUGUUGAAUACUGUCGCGGUUAACAUGUGGCUAACCUGAGAAUUCAAGUCCACGAAAGAGGGUAUAGAUUCAAGAGAAUCACCAGCGGAGGGGUUUGUAGAUACAGACUUUACAGUCAGUCCAUUUUAUCCAGCACUAGGCAUGGCUCGACAUGAUCACACACGCUGGAAAAGCAUGCGUGAGGCGGCCGAGGCAUGACUAGAGCGAUGAUUAGGUGGUUAUUAGUCGAUUUAACUUGAUUUUUGUAAGAACUUUCUUAGGAUGGGUUGAACCAAAGUGGGUUUAGACAACUCGAUAAAUCGAUCCCUAAACUCAACCUUUGAUCACAUUUCAGUUACAAGUUAAUAAAACCAACUCGUUGAACUACUUUUGACAUUGAGCAACUACUCUCAGUACCAUCGGUAAGACAACAGUCAAGAGUUUACAUUUGCUAAAAAGAGGUCAUGCACUUGGGUAGAAAUCCAUUUGGCCAUGGGGUUCAUCCGUUUCUUCAUGCGAGAUGAAUUAUCCACUUGGUCAGGGAAUACGUGGAUUAAAUAAAAGAGCGAAUGAACAAACUCCUGCAUCUCAGCAGUAGGGAAAGCCAAUCUCCAUUUUGAGAGCUAAUCAGUUGUCUUCUAACACUAAAAAGCUUCAAGGAUUCGCCUUUACACAAAGGAUGCAAAGGGAACUUGGAUGUGUAGUCACUACCAAGAUCAAAAGAAAAGAGACCACACCUGAAAGUGGUAUGCCCUUUUGAUCCAACAGAGAUGAUAGAUGUUGCUUGAUUAUUUCGAUAAACAACACAAAAAUCGUUUCAAGGAAGGGAUCUACGGAAGAUAACAUAUUAGGGUAGUUCCAUAAUGGAUCAUGACCAGAGACCUUGAUACCAGCAUCCGAUGAGUAGCACAAUCCUGUGUGCGCAUUCACAGGAGGCUCUCAGUUUUGCUGCGGCACCAUAAGUCAUUAAUCAUGACAGCAUUACUGAACUGGUACCAACAUAGAAUCCCAUGUAGCAAAAACAGAUUGUGCCAAGAUAACCCAUUGAUAUAGUCUCAUAAUGGAUCACAACUACUAACCAUGAUACCAGCGCGUGCCGAGCAGCACAACCGUGUGUCGAUCGUCCACAGGAGGCCCUCGGUUUCGUCAUGGCACCAUCAGUUUUUAGCCAUAACACCAUUAUCAGACAUAACCAAUAAGAAAUCUCACGCGACACAAAUGAAUUGAGUAAGGGUGACAAUAUACACAAGAGACUCUACCUGUCAAAAUGGUUACAAGUAGAGAGCCAAAUAGAUCAUGGCCCGAUGAAAUGAACAAGGCAUGGCCAUAACCUAAACUUGUUGCUGAAUGAGUACGAUGGGAGACUGUUAAUUCAGUCCCAAGUAGAUUUCUAUGCCCAUCAGAGAGAUUACAAGGUCAAGGAUUAAUAUCUGACUAGAUGCGAAGGGAAAACAAUCAUAAGAUGAAGUUGGUAUGCCUUCGAUAGAUUGAGGAAACCAAAGGCAUCAAGUUCAAGAAAAAGAUUGGGUAUUCCUUUCCUAGGUUAGGUUGAUAAAGCAACAUGGCGAUCCUUAAGAACAGGCAAACUAGAUAAGGGACAUCAGCUUGUGCCAAUCGAACAAGGGCAUGGUCUAAGAUGGAAUUAUGACAACUAAAACAUCACAAAUUAAAUAGCAAGAACAUGGACUCGAGAUCCUAGCUUUAAGCCCAUGCACACCUUGCGUUGGAUAAAGGAAUUAUCCAAACAUCCAUUUACAUGAGUUUGGUCAUGGGGAAAUAACAGAAAAUUCAACUUUGGGUCAUGGUUCACCUACUAAGAACAUGGCCUAGGUUUAGUUUUAGGCAAACAAGUGUCUAACCUUCUAUCGACACAUUAAGCACAAGAGCACACAUAUAGCAUCUAAACAUUAUACCUAAGGAACGAAGAACAACUAUUUUAUUGAAGUUCAUAAUUCAACAUUACACCAGAUUAUCUACAAUCACUGGUUUCUGGAAUAAGGAUGAGAGAAGCAUUUUGGAUGUAUAGGUAACAAACAUGAUGCAACAAUUAGGAUGCAUGCUCGUCCUAUACGUCCUCACGAAUUUGUGCCAAUCUAAUGUGGCAGUAGCGUUCUAUCUCGGUGGCAUACUUACGACUCUCACGGUAUUUUGCUAGUCGUCAGCUACACAUACAUUUUCGAGGUUAGUGUACCUGCAGAAAAUUCCAUCACAGCCCAAUUUCCCAAUGAUGCAGUUCACACAAGGCAAUUUAUCACAGUUUAUACUCCAUAUAUUGCUAUAUGGAGGCCAGCUCAUCAUGAAGCACCGAGCCACGCAUAGGCGUCGUUGCCACACUUUAACCAUAGGGCAACUCAUUAUGGUAACUCACCUUCUUACCUGAGCGUAGGUGCGUCGUUGCAAGUACAUUACAUUUCUUAGUAUUCCCAUGUCUGUAUACCCAUACACCUCCAUGGGGUACUGAAUUCCCAAAAAAAUAAUUACUCCAUAUCGCAGCCUUCAUAUAUACAUAUGUGGAACAUGUAUAUAAUCAAGCGCUUUUUACGCUCUUCCCUAGACCGACGUUUGUUCGGUCAUGCUCUCACAUCUCACCUUACCUUAAGCGUCGAUCCAUUCAAAACUGAAUGGCCUCAAAAAUAACAAUACACAUAUAUGCAGUACCCACCCGGUUGUGGGUUAGUGGUUUUGAACUAAGCCACAUGAUAGUCCUUAAUUUAGGGCUUAAUAGAGGAUGUCGCUAGCAUUAUAGUUUUUCAAAACUAUUUUUCAAAGCCAAACAAUGUGUUUAGUUGAAAAUAGGUUUUAUAAAACCAAAACUUUGUUUUUUUAAAAUACGUAUGUGACCGUAUUAUACUUAAUCCUGCUCUGAUACCAGCUGUGGCAGAACCUCCCAAGUUAUUGGGCCCACAUGCACCUGUCCUUGUCUCAAAGACCUCAGACGGCUAUGCAUGUGCACCAGAUAACUUAACAGGAUCUGUCCGAGUGCCCCAAGGACCCCGGAUAAACCACUUGCAACCAGAACCACAAGAUUAAGUAAUACAAAUCACACACAUCAACAUUUUUGCAGCGGAAAUCUUAUUACCAAAUUUUACAGGUUACAAAAAAUUUACAUUAUUUUAUCGGAGUGAUUACAAAAGUAUAAGCUUGAAAUAUAUGCUAGCUCAAGUGACCAUCCUCAAUAAGAAGUAUAGAAGAAGUACUUAGACUUAUAGAAGGCCGAGCCCACCGGCACUUAACACCAUCAUCAGCAGCACAAAACUAUGACCUGAAAAACAACAGGGGAUAAAACCCUGAGUAUGGAAUAACUCAGCAAGACUUACCCGACUAAAGAAAAGACUCUCAAGGAUAUGCUGGAUUUGGGAAUCAAGGAGAGGUUUUAGCAAGAAUCAACUUAGAUACUUUUGCAGAAUUAGCUAACUAAAGUGAGUCCUUACUUUCAAUAUUUUAAUGCCAGAUUAAAUAUUAAUAGACUAUGUUUGCAUCUGGUCUAAUUUCACCAUCUCAUCAAUAAAACUUCAUUUUUAUUCAUGAGGUUCACAUCCUGACUUAGGUUGCAGGGCAGCGAUCAAGUCUCCACUCUCCGGGGAUAUAACGGCGAUCCGAAUCGAUUUACUCAGCUGAGGAUCUCUAACCACACGACAUAUGUUUCUCGUAAACCUUGCAUGUCUACCAUUCCCACGGAUCCUCCACUGCAUGAACAGGUCCGCGCCACCCGAGAGCACACCACCCCUUUUAGGCGGUCCUUUGCUAGGAGGGUACGUGCCACUCUCGCCAUCUCUCCACUCCCAGUGCACGAUUGUCUUUUCAUGUAUGGAAUAGCCGGGUUCAAGCUUACCCUGUCCCAUUUCCAGGGCAUGUGGCUAGUUAAGAUAGUCCUUGAUCAACAGGCCUUCCAUCCUUAGGAUUGUUUGUGUUCCUUAGGAUGAAAAGAGCAUCAAAGGGAACUUUGCAGUAAGAUCCCACCACGCUCUUAAUGAAAAUAUUCUUUCAGGUAGAAGCCAUCUUUCCUCAAGAUAACCCCUGAGCUAGGCAUUAAUGCAAAAGGCAACCUCUAUCCACAAGAUCUAAGCAGGGCUAAGCAUUUUUGUAAAUCAUAUUUUGAUACUUCACCAGAAGUAUCUAUAAAGGUAUGGAUAUCAAGGAAGGCAAUGCAUCAAAGGGUUUCCAAGCAACUCCUAUAAACCUAAUGCACAUUUCACUAGACUUAAAGUGUGCAAAAAUUAUUUAAAAACACAAGGAAGGGGUUGCAUGCACCGGGGCUUGCCUGGGAUAAACACUACGUUAGUGUUUGUUAGGCGUCGAUCACUUGACGACCAUCCUUUGUCCCGAUACUUGUUUCGUCUGUCCAUCUCCAGUUCCGUUCAUCAGCACCAUCUUAUGGUCGACUCAGUUAUGGUUCUCCGCAUCGUGUGGUUAAUUCACGUACCUGAAUGAAAUGCAUUAUGCACAUGAAUGCAUAUAGACCGGAAUAUUUCAAACCUAAAUAUUACUACGCGAUAGCGAAUUAAACACCUAGCAGCGAGGCGUUGUACAAUUUUAUACCAAAAACACUAGUUAUUAAUAUACGACUACGAGUAAUAAUUACGCUUCUCGAACCUAACGCAAACAUCACGAACAACAAACUAUACACAUGAAAUACAAUUAGCCUAAUCACAACUUAUCAAUUAAUUAAUUAAAUUCUAAACUUAUCCCUUAUUUUAUAAAUUACACUACAUCUUUAUAAGUGAUUAAAAUAUUUCAUCAGCACACAUGUCUAUUAAAAUUCUACUCGAGACACUAAUUCAACUAAUUGACCGGAAUAGCGAAAUAACUCGCUAUAACUGAACCUGGCUCAAUAAUAACAAAAACUGCGAAGUCGACCAGAGGUUCGUGACUUACGCAAUUUAUCGAGCACCUUAAUGAGCCUCACACUAACACAUUAACUUAUUCAACGAUCGGAUUAUACUGAAUAAUUUAUCGGCUUACCGUUUCCACAGCUGACAUGAAUCCAUGAGAUCAGUAGCGAUUUUUCCGAUUCAGGCAAUUUGUCGAGCGCUUGGGGAAUACCGCGCUGCUAGCUUCGUCUUCAUCCGAUCCUUGGGAUUCCUCGAUGACGCACGGAAUGACGACGAUCUUCGAUUGAAGUCUUCGACCGAGUACUUGAUAAGAGAUGCACAGGGACCUCACUUAUUUUUGUCUAAAGUCCGAGAUUCGUGGUCGACGAGAUCGAGCAGAGAAGAACGAGGUUCGCCGGGCUCGACAACGAUACGGGAGAGUGACAUAUAUGGAGCUGUAGGUCUGGCGAGCUGACGUAAGGGAUCGUAGCUGCUGCUUCGACAUGAAUUACUUGCUGCCGAGCAUGACGGAAGCCGGGGAGCUGCCGACGGUCGGCCCGAGAACGACGAUGGAGCAGCGGACGGACGAGCAGGAAAACAUUAGAGAAAGGGAUCACGCCGGUCAACAGAGAAGCGCGCGGCGAGCAUCAGGGAAACAGACAAGCGACUGCCAUGGGAGGGACUCCGAGCGGGGGGAAAAACUGCGCGCGGGGAAGGAGGCCUCGGCACAGCGGCCAUGGCCGGAUAGAGAGGGGAUGGGACGGCGCGCAGACUAGGCGAGUAGAGAAGAGUGGCUGAGCUAGGCGAGCUCGGACCGGCGAGGAGAACAGAGGGUAGGGCGCGGCAGCCUGGAAGAAAUAACACAGUCCGAGCGCCGGCCAUGGAGAGACCUCGGCAGGACGCUCUCCCAUGGGAGAUACAGGGAGAUGGGAACUCGAGUUGUAGGGAGCUCCGGUCGGGCUAGGGAUUGGGCGAGCUGCACGGCCGGGAGCUCCAUGGGUGGGAGAAGGAGCGCUCAGCUGGCCGGACUGGAAAAGAGAAGAACAGGGGCGCCAUGGCUGGAUGCGAGAAAGAGCAGAGAGAGAGCUCAGCUGGGAGAAUGACGACGGUAAAAAUCCUAGCAGCAGAUAAGAAGAGACGGCAGGAAUUUCAACACAAGAACAGCGGUGGGAUUUUCUUUUGCUUUCCAGAAUACAGCGACGCGGCAUAUCAGAUGGAAGAGAGAAAGCGGUGGAGAGAUAAGGCGAGGGAAGGGAGAUGUACGUAUGGGAUUUUUGAAGAAGAGCCUGCGCGCUAGAUAAGGCUGAGCGGCCAGCAACUUCAACAAAAAUCAGAGCGAUGAAAUAUCAGAGUGGAGGAUAGGAACGCAGAGAAGAUUUUCCUUCCGUGUGUGGAUGAGAACGAAGACUUUAAAAAUCUGCGUAGCGUACGUGAGAAGAUAAGGAGAGAGAGCACUGUGAGAAGAUUUUUCUUCUCGGAUUUUGAAACAGGAAACAGAAAUGGCCAGCAAUAUUCUGAACAUCACGAAAAUUUCGGAAGAGUCCGGAUAGAUAAAAAUAAAAACGAUGUCGAACUCGCGAUCGACGAAACCGACGCGAUAUUAAAAUCGUGAUCGGCGAAGAUAAUUAAAAUUUAGCGUUUGUUCACCCACUGAUAUUACGUGCUUUAAUCCAUACUCGUUGUCGAGCGGAAUAUACACACCUGGGGUGUUA